AGGGACAACUUCCAACUAUAAAUUGGAAGCUAGACCUUACUUGCAUUCUCAAGAAUAGGGUUGCAAGUUGGAUUGGAAAUUCUCGAAUCCAACCACUUGCAAUCCUAAACUCUUCAGAGAUGGCAAAAUCUGUUGCCUCCAGCACCACAGUUGUUCUCCUAAUAGCUCUCUUUCUCGUUGCUUCCAUGGAAAUGCCAGUGGUAGAAGAGGAUGCAAGCAGGCGAGCAAGUCGAUGACCACCUGCACAGCCCACUCAGAGUGUGACAAAAAAUGCAAAGGAGAGAAAGGAAAGAUGGGACUUUGCCGUGCUGAUGGGCCCAAAGGCAAAAAGUGCUGGUGCUACAUGUGUUAAAUGGGAAUUUUGUAUAAUUUUGUCAAUAAUAAAAUAGUUCUCAAAAACUUUUGAGAAAUUAAAACAUCUCUCUCUCUUUCUUUCU